rnacentral:rRNA from 1 species
CCUACGGGUUGCAGCAGUGAGGAAUAUUGGUCAAUGGGCUUACGCCUGAACCAGCCAAGUCGCGUGAGGGAAGACUGCCCUAUGGGUUGUAAACCUCUUUUGUCAGGGAGCAAUUGGCGCUACGUGUAGCGUUAUCGAGAGUACCUGAAGAAAAAGCAUCGGCUAACUCCGUGCCAGCAGCCGCGGUAAUACGGAGGAUGCGAGCGUUAUCCGGAUUUAUUGGGUUUAAAGGGUGCGCAGGCGGAAGAUCAAGUCAGCGGUAAAAUUGAGAGGCUCAACCUCUUCGAGCCGUUGAAACUGGUUUUCUUGAGUGAGCGAGAAGUAUGCGGAAUGCGUGGUGUAGCGGUGAAAUGCAUAGAUAUCACGCAGAACUCCGAUUGCGAAGGCAGCAUACCGGCGCUCAACUGACGCUCAUGCACGAAAGUGUGGGUAUCGAACAGGAUUAGAUACCCUAGUAGUC